CCCAGACUACUCAUUAGAUACAUUAAAACAUGGCGUGUAAUUACUUCACUUGCAACUGGAGACUUGAAUACCAUCUAACAAUUUAACAUUGAAUAUCGUUUGAAAUUGUAUAUGCUUGGACCCCAAUUUGUUUUAGAUACACCAUUGCAACAUUCUAAUCAACAGAUCCUUUAGUGAACACUUUAAAGGAAAUGAACUAAUGACCUUAUACAUUCAUCCUGGACUUUCAAAUGAUUCCAACACAUGGAGGCUAAAUAUUGACACCUUUCGGUACUACUUGUCCCAACAUUAUAUACAUCAGAAUCUAUCUAUAUAGGAAUUUUGUAUCUCGUGGCAGUAAUGAUCCAUUGAUUAUCAAACUAUAACUAAACAAAAAUGAGUGAAGCUAAAUCUAUGAAAUAAUAGACAAACCUAAUCUAUGUUAUCAAACAAACAUUAUAAUGACUACAUGUUUCAGCAGUAGCCUUCAGAAAGAUGUCAUAUCUUCCAUGUACAACCCAUAAUUUAAUUUUAGCUUUGAAUCCCAUGGGUAUAACCAUGGUAGAGAUCAAAUCCACCAAGAGCAUGGCUUCACACAUAUUAGCAGUAAUAGGACCAUACAAACUCAGCCAACUAACACAAAGAGGUCGGACCAGGAUGGCAAAACAGUAUGCAUAGUCUAAAUCUAACAGGUAACAAGUACUAUGUUUAACGCGCUAGCAAACAGGUUUAUCAGGGAAUAGAAAAACAUUGAAUUAACAAAGAAUCACAUUAUUAAAAGAAAACUUAAGUGUUGUUCCAUUUAUGGGUACGAACCUCAUUAUAUAAACAAAAUAGCAUUAAACCCGCGUCUAAAUCAGAUUUGCAAACAUUUAAAUAAUAGGUGAGACAUGUACCUAGUUGUUUAAGAAUUUUCCAAAUGCUAAGCAGAAUAGUAGUUCAUUAGCAAAGAGAUAGCAGCACCAAAGAACAAUCAGCUUCAAAAUAAGACCACACUUCAAUUUUGGAGCCCAGAACCUCAAUGGAGACUAGUUAAGACUUAGUGAAGGAAAAAUAAAAAAAAAACAAACUGAUGAAGGAAACUGGAUUUUCAGGAUUUUUUCAGAUAUUUGUUUUCGUGUCUAAUGAUGGAAGAAAUAUUCUCUUUAAAGGUAAAAAAUUCCAUAUGCUGAAAAGGAUAAGGUAUUUAUUUCCUUAAGCCACAAAAAGCAUCUUUCAACAUAAUUUGGAUACCUGGCAGCCCCUAAUUGGCUUCAGUAUUUUGUACUGGCCAAAUAGGGCCAACUGCCUAUAUUCUAGAACCUUCUCACAUGGCAUUAUCUGAAUUUCCUAUUUCAUACCCUUCCAAUGACCGCUCCCCCCCCCCUUUAAGUUUUCUUUUUGUUCAAUUUACCCCUAUAAGUUCCAAUCUAUUUACAGACUAGGACCAACAAAUCAAGGCAAGAAUCAGUAUGAAUCAAAAAUCAAAGAAACAAAACAUUAUGCAAUUAAAACUUUAGACUAACCCUAGCCCCAAAUAAAUUUAGCAUGAACCAACUUUGAAAUGAGGCAGAAACAAAAAUCAUCAAGAACCCACUACCAAAACGACUCUUAACAAAGGAAAGUUGUUAAAAGUCAUUAAAUAGACUGUUCAGAUGAUGACUUAAUAAAUUUGAAUAAGACAAACAAAACACACACUGUAAUUAACCUAACACAAAACCAUGAAAGCUAAGCAGGAAAAGGAUUAUGAAGGGAAAAAAAAAAAGAGAAAUUACCCCAAGCAAACAUAUCUUGAUUUCAACUAGAUCAAUCACAAACUGGAAUAAAUUUCAACGAUUUCUCUCAUCAAGAACAAUCGAUUGAUAUAGGUCUUGGGUUCAAAUGGACCGAAACUGAACGCGAAAUUAGAGACUGACCAAAAAACUAGGUUUUUGACUUUUAGAUCUAAAAUUUGGGAAUUUUUGGGUUCAUUCAAAGGACAUGGUUACGAGAUAUAGAAAGAGGGAAAGAUGGUGGUUGCAUGGUUUUAAUUUCAGUAGGUUUGGAGACGGUUGGAUGGUGGCCGCCAUCGGGGUUUGCAGAGAAUAUUAGGGCGGAUAGGGUUAGGUUAAAGGUGAGAGGGAGAUGAUAAUGCGGGUCUCUAGGGUUUGGGGGAGGGAUUUGGACACUUAUAUUGGAAUUGGGGAGUGAGUUCCCAACCGUUGGAUCAUUGAAUAUCAACGAUUGGAAUUUAAACGGGUUAACGAUGUUGUUUGGUCUAUUGGGGGUGUAUGGACCGGGUAAAGGAUUGAGCUGGGU
rnacentral:lncRNA from 1 species